CUCCUUGAAUUUGUACCAGAUGGAGCUAAGAAAUUGGCUCUGUUUGGUAACAGAUUCAAGGAAAAUCAGGCAGCGGCCAGACAACCGUAGGGAUGGUAUCCACAGAUGAAUUGUUUUUCGUUCAGUUUGUCUACUGAUUCCAUCUCAUAUUU